rnacentral:rRNA from 1 species
UACGUAGGGUGCGAGCGUUGUCCGGAAUUAUUGGGCGUAAAGGGCUCGUAGGCGGUUUGUCGCGUCGGGAGUGAAAACCUUGGGCUUAACUCAGGGCUUGCUUUCGAUACGGGCAGACUAGAGGUAUGCAGGGGAGAACGGAAUUCCUGGUGUAGCGGUGAAAUGCGUAGAUACUGGGAGGAACACCGGUGGCGAAGGCGGCUACCUGGACAGGUACUGACGCUGAUGCGCGAAAGCUAGGGGAGCAAACAGG